rnacentral:rRNA from 1 species
CCUACGGGGGGCAGCAGUGAGGAAUAUUGGUCAAUGGGCUUACGCCUGAACCAGCCAAGUAGCGUGCAGGAUGACGGCCCUCCGGGUUGUAAACUGCUUUUAGUUGGGAAUAAAAGGGGGCUCGUGAGCCCCGUAUUGUAUGUACCAUCAGAAAAAGGACCGGCUAAUUCCGUGCCAGCCGCCGCGGUAAUACGGCAGGUCCGGGCGUUAUCCGGUUUUAUUGGGUUUAAAGGGAGCGUAGGCCGGCUUUUAAGUCAGCUGUGAAAGUCCGCGGCUCAACCGUGGAAUUGCAGUUGAAACUGGAGGCCUUGAGUGCACACAGGGAUGCCGGAAUUCAUGGUGUAGCGGUGAAAUGCUUAGAUAUCAUGAAGAACUCCGAUCGCGAAGGCAAGUGUCCGGGGUGCAACUGACGCUGAGGCUCGAAAGUGCGGGUAUCAAACAGGAUUAGAUACCCCAGUAGUC